ensembl:misc_RNA Metazoa_SRP Metazoan signal recognition particle RNA
GCCAGGCGCGGUGGUGCAUGCCUGUAGUCCCAGCUGCUUGGGAGGCUGAGCCCGCUGGAUCGCUUGAGCCCAGGAGUUCUGAGCUGCAGUGCACUAUGCCGAGCGGGUGUCUGCGCUAAGGCCGGCAUCAAUAUGGUGAGCCCCAGGGAACUGAGGCACACCAGGCUGCCUAAGGAGGGGGGCCGGCCCAUGGUCAGCUAACCGGUACCUACCCCUGGUUCUUGGGCGAGGGUACGUCUGUGUCCAGACCCAUUCUGGCCCACUUUGGUUGCCGACCAGAUGGGUCCAU